UAGGGAAUAUUGGACAAUGGGGGCAACCCUGAUCCAGCCAUGCUGCGUGAGUGAAGAAGGCCCUCGGGUUGUAAAGCUCUUUUGUCCGGAAAGAAAAGCAUUCGGUGAAUACCCCGGGGUUCUGACGGUACCGGAAGAAUAAGCACCGGCUAACUUCGUGCCAGCAGCCGCGGUAAUACGAAGGGUGCAAGCGUUACUCGGAAUUACUGGGCGUAAAGCGUGCGUAGGUGGCUGUUUAAGUCUGAUGUGAAAGCCCUGGGCUCAACCUGGGAAUGGCAGUGGAAACUGGGCACCUAUAGUGCGGUAGAGGGUAGUGGAAUGCCCGGUGUAGCAGUGAAAUGCGUAGAGAUCGGGAGGAACAUCUGUGGCGAAGGCGACUGCCUGGACCAGCACUGACACUGAGGCACGAAAGCGUGGGGAGCAAACA
rnacentral:rRNA from 1 species